rnacentral:SRP_RNA from 1 species
AUGGAGGCCUUGCGUGAGGCUGGUGUGCAGAGCAAGGAGGACUUCUCUGUCUUCGUUGACGG